AUUGAACGCUGGCGGCAGGCCUAACACAUGCAAGUCAAACGAGUGGCGGACGGGUGAGUAAUGUCUGGGAAACUGCCUGAUGGAGGGGGAUAACUACUGGAAAAGUUAGCUAAUACCCAAUUCCAUAGCAUGUGCCCAGCGUGGAAUAGCUAGUAGGUGGGGUAAAGGCUCACAUAGGCGACGGACCCUAGCGGGUCCAGGAGGAUGACCAGCCACACGUGAACUGAGCCAGGGUCCAGACUCAUAGGGGAGUAAGCAGUGGGGAAUUUUGCACAAUGAGCGAAAGCCUGAUGCAGCCAUGCCGCGUGUAUGAAAAAGGCCUUCGGGUUUUAAAGUACGUUCAGCGGGGAGGCGUUACCCGCAGAGGAAGCACCGGCUAACUUCGUGCCAGCAGCCGCGGUAAUUC
rnacentral:rRNA from 1 species